rnacentral:rRNA from 1 species
CGUAGGGGACGAGCGUUGUCCGGAUUCAUUGGGCGUAAAGCGCGCGUAGGCGGCCCGGAAAGUCGGAUGUGAAAACUUGGGGCUCAACCCCAGGCGUGCACCCGAUACUCCCGGGCUGGAGGCAGGUAGGGGAGAUCGGAAUUCCUGGUGUAGCGGUGAAAUGCGCAGAUAUCAGGAGGAACACCGGUGGCGAAGGCGGAUCUCUGGGCCUUGCCUGACGCUGAGGCGCGAAAAGCUAGGGGAGCGAACAGGAUUAGAUACCCUGGUAGUCCUAGCCGUAAACGUUGGGUGCUAGGUGUGGGCGGACAUCGACCCCGUCCGUGCCGAUGCUAACGCAUUAAGCACCCCGCCUGGGGAGUACGGCCGCAAGGCUA